rnacentral:lncRNA from 1 species
CUAGCCGCCUUCCCCUCGACGAGCUCCGCACAAGGGGAAGAGGCCGCGGUCCCAUCAAAAUCCUCUUCUUCUAGGAAAGGUUCUAUCUCGGGCUACUCAUGGCGUCCUGAUGUGUCGCAGUAAUGGUUGGAUGAGUAUGAAUGAAAGCUGAAGGAGCUAGAUCGCCACAUGGAAUAGCUCCAAGCAAACCAUCGGGACCCCACCAA